AAAUUUUUUUUUUAUUCUAAAUUAUACGAAGUACAUUAUUGCUUUAAGUAGAAACUUCUUUAGAUGUUCAAACUAAGUAGUAAAAUUUUUUUCUUAGACCUGAAUUACCGAGCUGGGAAAGAUUCAACUUACAAAUCAGCAAGCAAUAUGUGUACGAAGAGAACUCAACCAUUAUCGAUGAUUUAGAACGUGAUUUGGCGACUCAAAGGAUUGUUGCAGUAGAGCAGCUGGGUGGAGGUAUGCAACUGAAGCUUUUGUUCACAUUUGCUGAUGGAGGUCAUGGUGUGUUUAAACCUCAAAGGUAUUCA